rnacentral:misc_RNA from 1 species
ACUUCGUCGCAGUGCCUCUAUCAGCUCUUCUUUCUCACUGCUGUGAUUACACACGGCACAGCGAGACCCUCACUGUGUGCGCCCCUUCCCCUCCAGGCCUCUAGGUGCACCGUCUGCCUCCCUAUCCCCCUCCCUAUCCCCCUCUCUUCCCCCCGCCUUCGCGUUCCUCUUCGCACCGGCUCGCCCGCUGCGGCUCUCUUGUGUGACCGAGGCGCCCGACAACAGCAGAGGUACGCAGGCACGACUGAGGCGGCCGCUCUGAGGCAUCUGCGCCAUCGACACGCAGCAGCGGUCUGCGUUUCUGUCGCCUUCCUCUCGAGCAUAUCCCUCGCUUCGACAGCAUGACGCAGCUGCACCGUCGUGUGGCGCUGAUCGCCGUUCUCGCAGCGGCGGUGCUGUUGACGCUUGCCGCUCCCGUGGCGCGUGCCAGGGUGGCGAGCCCAUGGGAUGCGGUCGAGGGCGGCGUCUCUCCGGAGAUGCCCGAUGAUUUUGGGGCUACACCGUUCUUUAUAAGUGAGGCAGAGAGGUCGAACACGCUGAAGGUGAUGCGGGCGUUUGCUGCGGCGAUGCCCUCGCUGGGGUGGAGCGGAGCCGACUUCUGCACGUGGGCUGGCGUGAGGUGCUUCGAUACGAAUGUGAGCUUUAUCGCCACUGGUAGCUUGGCUACCGGCACGCUGCCUGAAAUGCCUGAUGACGUGGACUACUCGCUGGUGAAGCUCGAUCAGGUGGAUCUUAGUCAGAGCACCGGUAUCACUGGAACCCUGCCGAGCAGCUGGAGCAAGCUGCAUAAGGUGAGGACAGUCAACCUUGGAUACACGAGCAUCAGCAGCACGCUACCCGCGUCGUGGAGCUCGAUGAGCUCGCUGAGGUUCUUGACCCUGAGUUCCACGGAUGUAUUCGGCACGCUGCCGGCUGCCUGGAGCUCGAUGUCGGCGAUUGAGCAAAUCGUCAUUUCCAGCACUCAGAUCACCGGCACUCUUCCUGAGGAGUGGAGCACUAUGCCGAACGUUCGGAGGAUACACUUUCAACAGUGCAACCUGUACGGCUCCUUCCCCGCGUCAUGGGCACGGAUGCCGUCGCUUGAGCGCUUGGGCCUUCAGAACAACAACUUCUGUGGCUGCGUACCGGACUCGUGGCUGACGUCACCAACGCUAUGGGUGGGCGUGGACGCCAAGCAUCGCAUGGCUGACUGUGCGACUGCCCACGCCUGCGCUGAGACCACAACGCCCGAGCCCGUCCCCAGCAGCUCCGGCUCGGCCGGUGAGGUGUCCGGCUCGUCGAGCUCGAGCACCGCCACGACCGCGGAUCCGACUCCGAGCAGCUCCGGCUCGGCCGGUGAGGUGUCCGGGUCGUCGAGCUCGAGCACCGCCACGACCGCGGAGCCGACUACGAGCACAACGUCCCCCACGCCAUGCCCGACCCCGUGCCGCGUUCCGAACUGCAUGUCGUGCGCACCCGGCAACUCGAUGCGGUGCAGCGUGUGCUUCCCCGGAUACGUGCUGACAGCUGGCGGGUGGUGCAUGAGGCACACUGGUGAGGAUGCUGCUGUGUUUCCUGUGGGGACUGCUGCUGCCGCUGCUGUCUCCGCGACGGUGGUGGUGAUGGGCGCGGUGCUUGCGUAGGGUGAGGCUGUGGGCGUGAGCUGGCGGUGCAGUGCUCAGCGGCGCCUCUUCGUGCGCCUCGGCGCCUGUCUUGUGCAUUGCGACGUGUGUGCCUUCUGUUGCCGCCGGCGCCCACGGGGUGCCCUCGGUGUCCCCUGCGGUGCGAGGAGGCGAGAGGGUGCGCCUGCAGGAGGCUGCCGGGCGUCACCACGCAUGCGAGUCCCGCCCUCCCCUCUGUCGCCCUCGUGUCCCGCAGCAGACUCUCGCCUGCCGACACGCGACUGCCUCGUGCGCUUCUCCGCACUGGUCUCGCUGGCCCUGUCACCGCUUGCUCGCUGCUGUGGCUGCGUGGCCGCUGCUCUCUCCUCACCCUGCUUCUUCCGUUUUCGCGCCUUGCGGCUGUGCGGGCUUUGCGCCCUGCUGGUCCUCUUUCCUGACUGACGUCUGUCUGAUGCUUCGGGGGCGGGUCGUUUCCGGUUGCGUGCCGUGCGUGCGGUGGGCCGGCGCUCUUUUUGUGGUGCGCUGUGCUCGACUCCGCCUCCGCCUCCUCCUCCUCCCUCGUCGCUGACCUUUUGUGCGAGUGGCUGCGCUUCACCGGCGCCUCGAGGGCAUCGCGCUGCGCGCUGCCGUGUGCACUUGCUGGCGUGUGCGAGGCGGGACGCGGGGCGGCACACGAGAGCCGGGGAGGGCGUGGGGGUGGAUUGUGGGGUUCUGCUCGCGUGCGCCUUGUGCCUAUUCGCUCACUCCCUCUGCUCUUCUCCGUCCUUGUCAGGAUGCCCUGUGCUUCCUCUGCCGAAGUGCGCUCUCUCGUUGCCAAGCUGCUACCGACGCGUUUCUGUGCUCUGUGCUUGCUCAGCGCGCGUACGCUCCGACGAGGCCCUUGGUCCGCCUGGACGUCCCCUGCCAUUCUCUGUAGGCCUCGAUCGCCGUGGCGAGCGCACGCGGCUGUGCUUCGCCGUUUGCGGCGCGGGUGCUGUUCUCUCACUUGUCGUCCCCGGCUCCUACAUGUGGCCUCUGCUGUGCGACUGCAGGUGGUGGCAUACAUUUUUGUGCUGGUGUGAGGUGGGGGCGGUGUGAAUGGCGAAAGGGCGACGCGCGUGGGAGAGGAGGGGGCUGUGGGCGCCGUUAUGAGGUCGUGCACUUCAGCUCACGAGACGGGCCGGGGAUCGAGGGGAGGGCAAGGAGGAAGGGAAGGGUGCAAUAUCCGGGCGAUGCGCCGUCGCGGUUGCGACCGGCUGUCUCUUGUGCUGUGCGUGUUUUGCGUCUCUCUUUUUAUUGCUUUUGUUUGUAUCGCGUGCUGGCGUCCGUGCGCGGGCACUCAUCGCACUGCUGCUCGCCAUCUCUGUGCGUUGACCGCGCUGUCGUCCUCCUCUCACGAGCGGAGGCAACUUGUUUCACUUUUCCUUUUCAUUGUUCGUGUUUCCAUUGCACGAGUGCUGUGGUGCCCGGUCGUGGUUUGUGCCGUCCGCCAUAUGCUCGACAGGGGGUUCUCUCGGUGAGGGUGCCCCUUUCUCCAUUUCGAGGUGUUCCUCUCUCUUUUCUUUCUUACAGUUUUUAUUACUUGGCUUGGCUGAUGCCGUUCAUUUUUUGUUUCUCAUUCUCUCAGUCUAACUCCGUCCAUCAAAGGCUCUUUCAUUCUCUGGUGCAUUGUUUGCUGCGUUGUGUCUGCUGAUCCGAUGCCUCUGUCGCUCUCUGCCUCCGGAAGCCUCAGAGCGACAUGGAAUCGCGUACGGAGCGCGCUUGCUGUAGCGGAAAGGCGAUGAGGCGGGGAUGUGCUUGUGACGGCGCCGGCGCAGCAGAGCGGAUGACGCCUGUAAAUGCAAAGGAGAAACGCAACGCUGCAGACAGGGGAGAGGGGCAGCCGUUUACUGUACGACGUGGUGGAAGCCGCGCGUCACUGGUCUUGUGCUGUGCACUCGGGUGACGCCGACGGCGCACCUGUGCUCCUCCCUCCCCACUGGGCUCGCUCGCGUAUGCCUCGUCUGUGCGUCUGCUUUCAGGACUUCCGCCUGACUCCGUGGCGUCUUUUGCUGCCUCGUUUUGCGUUGUGUCCAACGAUUGUCGACUGCUCUCCCAUCGGCUCCUCCCCGUUCUUUGGCAUCCUCACGCCCAUGUUUCGGCCUUCGAUGUGCCGCUCUUUUUCUUCGCACCGGCGAGUGCGUGUGUGCGCUGUGUUCUUCAUGCUCUGUAACAUGUUGCCCCUAUUCGUUGUUUAUUCCGGCUCCCUCCCCCACGGCUCCUCUCUCCCCUCCCCUUCGCUGGCGGCUGAAUUGCAG